CGUGCUAUACUGCAGUAGAACGCUGGAUUUUAGUACUUGUACUAAAUGACGGAGUUGCGAACGGGUGAGUAACACGUGGGGAAUCUACCUCUUAGCGGGGGAUAACACAUAGAAAUGUGUGCUAAUACCGCAUAAUUGCUUUUAUCGCAUGAUGAGAGUAUGAAAGGUGCAAAUGCACCACUAAGAGAUGGCCCCGCGGUGCAUUAGCUAGUUGGUGAGGUAAUAGCUCACCAAGGCGACGAUGCAUAGCCGACCUGAGAGGGUGAUCGGCCACAUUGGGACUGAGACACGGCCCAAACUCCUACGGGAGGCAGCAGUAGGGAAUCUUCGGCAAUGGACGAAAGUCUGACCGAGCAACGCCGCGUGAGUGAAGAAGGUUUUCGGAUCGUAAAACUCUGUUGAUAGAGAAGAACGUGUGUGAGAGUGGAAAGCUCAUGCAGUGACGGUAUCUAUCCAGAAAGGGACGGCUAACUACGUGCCAGCAGCCGCGGUAAUACGUAGGUCCCAAGCGUUGUCCGGAUUUAUUGGGCGUAAAGCGAGCGCAGGCGGUUUGAUAAGUUGGAUGUCAAAGGCAAUGGCUCAACCAUUGUACGCAUCCAAAACUGUCAGACUUGAGUGCAGGAGAGGAGAGUGGAAUUCCAUGUGUAGCGGUGAAAUGCGUAGAUAUAUGGAGGAACACCAGUGGCGAAGGCGGCUCUCUGGCCUGUAACUGACGCUGAGCUCGAAAGCGUGGGGAGCGAACAGGAUUAGAUACCCUGGUAGUCCACGCCGUAAACGAUGAGUGCUAAGUGUUGGAGGGUUUCCACCCUUCAGUGCUGCAGCAAACGCAUUAAGCACUCCGCCUGGGGAGUACGACCGCAAGGUUGAAACUCAAAGGAAUUGACGGGGGCCCGCACAAGCGGUGGAGCAUGUGGUUUUAUUUCGAAGCACGCGAAGAACCUUACCAGUCUCGACAUCCUUCUGACCGCACUAGAGAUAGUGUUUCUCUUCGAGCAGAGUGACAGUGNGCAUGAUGUCGU
rnacentral:rRNA from 1 species